GGGAGGAUGGUCUAGUGGUAUGACGUCUGCUUUGCAUGCAGAAGGUCCGGGGUUCAAUUCCCCGUCUUUCCA